UACGGAGGGUGCAAGCGUUAUCCGGAUUCACUGGGUUUAAAGGGUGCGUAGGCGGGUAGAUAAGUCAGUGGUGAAAUCUCGGAGCUUAACUCCGAAACUGCCAUUGAUACUAUUUAUCUUGAAUAUUGUGGAGGUUUGCGGAAUAUGUCAUGUAGCGGUGAAAUGCUUAGAUAUGACGUAGAACACCUAUUGCGAAGGCAGCAGGCUACACAUAUAUUGACGCUGAGGCACGAAAGCGUGGGGAUCAAACAGGAUUAGAUACCCUGGUAGUCCACGCCCUAAACGAUGAUUACUCGACAUACGCGAUACACUGUGUGUGUCUGAGCGAAAGCAUUAAGUAAUCCACCUGGGAAGUACGUCCGCAAGGAUGAA
rnacentral:rRNA from 1 species